rnacentral:rRNA from 1 species
AUACAGAGGGUGCAAGCGUUAAUCGGAAUUACGGGGCGUAAGGCGCGCGUAGGCGGUUUAAUCAGUCGGAUGUGAAAGCCCCGGGCUCAACCUGGGAACUGCAUUCGAUACUGUUAAGCUAGAGUAUGGUAGAGGGAAGUGGAAUUCCAGGUGUAGCGGUGAAAUGCGUAGAUAUCUGGAGGAACAUCAGUGGCGAAGGCGACUUCCUGGACCAAUACUGACGCUGAGGUGCGAAAGCGUGGGGAGCAAACAGGAUUAGAUACCCUAGUAGUCC